CCUACGGGAGGCAGCAGUGAGGAAUAUUGGUCAAUGGCCGUAAGGCUGAACCAGCCAAGUCGCGUGAAGGAAGAAGGAUCUAUGGUUUGUAAACUUCUUUUAUAGGGGAAUAAAGGUAUCCACGUGUGGAUAUUUGCAUGUACCCUAUGAAUAAGCAUCGGCUAACUCCGUGCCAGCAGCCGCGGUAAUACGGAGGAUGCGAGCGUUAUCCGGAUUUAUUGGGUUUAAAGGGUGCGUAGGUUGUUUUUUAAGUUAGCGGUGAAAGUUUGUGGCUCAACCAUAAAAUUGCCGUUGAAACUGGAAGACGUGAGUGUGUUUGAGGUAGGCGGAAUGCGUGGUGUAGCGGUGAAAUGCAUAGAUAUCACGCAGAACUCCGAUUGCGAAGGCAGCUUACUAAGCCAUAACUGACACUGAAGCACGAAAGCGUGGGGAUCAAACAGGAUUAGAUACCCCGGUAGUC
rnacentral:rRNA from 1 species